rnacentral:rRNA from 1 species
CAAGUCGAACGAGAAGUGGAGCAAUCCAUGAGUAAAGUGGCGCACGGGUGAGUAACACGUGACUAACCUACCCAGGAGUGGGGGAUAACUGAGGGAAACCUUAGCUAAUACCGCAUAACACCUACGGGUCAAAGGAGCAAUUCGCUUCUGGAGGGGGUCGCGGCCGAUUAGUUAGUUGGCAGGGUAAUGGCCUACCAAGACGAUGAUCGGUAUCCGGCCUGAGAGGGCGCACGGACACACUGGAACUGAAACACGGUCCAGACUCCUACGGGAGGCAGCAGUGGGGAAUUUUGCGCAAUGGGGGAAACCCUGACGCAGCAACGCCGCGUGGAGGAUGAAGUCCUUCGGGACGUAAACUCCUUUCGAUCGGGACGAUUAUGACGGUACCGGAAGAAGAAGCCCCGGCUAACUUCGUGCCAGCAGCCGCGGUAUUACGAGGGGGGCGAGCGUUGUUCGGAAUUAUUGGGCGUAAAGGGUGCGUAGGCGGUUUGGUAAGUCUGAUGUGAAAUCUAUGGGCUCACUCAUAGUCUGCAUCGAAACUGCC